rnacentral:rRNA from 1 species
UACGAAGGGGGCUAGCGUUGUUCGGAAUCACUGGGCGUAAAGGGCGCGUAGGCGGCUUUAUAAGUCGGGGGUGAAAGCCUGUGGCUCAACCACAGAAUUGCCUUCGAUACUGUAGAGCUUGAGACCGGAAGAGGUAAGUGGAACUGCGAGUGUAGAGGUGAAAUUCGUAGAUAUCUGGAGGAACACCGGUGGCGAAGGCGGCAUCCUGGACCGGUAUUGACGCUGAGGCGCGAAAGCCAGGGGAGCAAACGGG